ensembl:lncRNA
AACACAAUCUCAAUCAACCACUUGAGAGGGAAGCGGGAGGAAGGCUUUGAGUGUUAAAGUGUGCCCUCCUGCAGAAACAGUAAUAUAAAGCUGGGACCAGUGAGCUUGAGAAAGGUCAAAGGUGAACGAGAGAAAAGCGCAGAUGACUCUCAGAUGGAUUAGCGCGCAGGCCCGGACGUCAUCGGGGGGGCCGGACGUGGGAAGAUUGCAGAUGCAACCGUCAAGUGGGUCGUACAUCUUCAUCUAUCAUCCACCCUCCUGUCCGUCACCACCCUGGUUCAGGGGCAGCCCAGCAGCUAAGACGGGCUAAACUCCUCUCGGCACAUCGACGACUCGGCGCCUGCGCAUCAAUCAACCUGUCUGUGUGCGCGUCGCUGCCCCGCAAACGUGACCGUCUGCUCCGCCGUGAAGUGGGAUCUGUCCGAUGAAGAAUCGGAUGUCUUGGUUGAUACGUUAACCUUAAAGACAAGUGAUGAGGCAGAAUCUGUUUUCCAAGCUGGAUGAAGUUACAAUCCUGCAAACAUAUGUGUCCUUAUUCAUGGACAUUUUGGGCUCUUUGCUGC